rnacentral:rRNA from 1 species
CCUACGGGUGGCAGCAGUGGGGAAUAUUGCACAAUGGGGGAAACCCUGAUGCAGCAACGCCGCGUGAGCGAAGAAGGCCUUCGGGUCGUAAAGCUCUGUCCUAAGGGAAGAAGCAUGACGGUACCUUAGGAGGAAGCCCCGGCUAACUACGUGCCAGCAGCCGCGGUAAUACGUAGGGGGCGAGCGUUAUCCGGAAUCACUGGGCGUAAAGGGUGCGUAGGCGGCCGAUUAAGCCAGGGGUGAAAGGCUACGGUUCAACCGUAGUAAGCCCUUGGAACGGGGUGGUUUGAGUGCAGGAGAGAAGAGGGGAAUCCCUGGUGUAGGGGUGAAAUGGGUAGAUAUUAGGAGGAACACCAGUGGGGAAGGCGACUCACUGGACUUUAACGGACGCUGAGGCAAAAAAGCGUGGGGAGAAAACAGGAUUAGAACCCCGGGUAGUC